AGCUCCAAUAGCGUAUACUAAAGUUGUUGCAGUUAAAAAGCUCGUAGUUGGAUUUCUGGCAGGGACGGCUGGUCGGUUCCGAUAAGGGGCCGUACUGUUGUUUGUUCCUGUCAUCCUUGGGGAGAGCGAUUCUGGCAUUAAGUUGUUGGGGUCGGGAUCCCUAUCUUUUACUGUGAAAAAAUUAGAGUGUUCAAAGCAGGCUUAGGCCCUGAAUACAUUAGCAUGGAAUAAUAAGAUACGACCUUGGUGGUCUAUUUUGUUGGUUUGCACGCCAAGGUAAUGAUUAAUAGGGAUAGUUGGGGGUAUUCGUAUUCAAUUGUCAGAGGUGAAAUUCUUGGAUUUAUGGAAGACGAACUACUGCGAAAGCAUUUACCAAGGAUGUUUUCAUUA
rnacentral:rRNA from 1 species